CUCUGGGUUACUAGGGCCAACACCCCCACCAACAGCUUCUUCACCUCUAAGUCCAGGAGAUUCUAUGGCGGUUGCAGCAGGUCCUGCACCAGAAUCUGGAACAUCUGAUGAUCUGCAGCCAGCAUCUCCAUCAGAUGAACCAGAAGCUCCAACACAAAGUACCAAAGGAGUCGGAAGACCACAGCUGACCCCAUCAGCAUCUAGUUUAACCUAUGUUCCCCCACCAUCUUUCAUACUGAUAAUUUUGGGAAUUAUGGUUUUCAAGUCCUACUAAUACCUCUCUAGCACAUGCUUUUUGUAUGGUUUAUCACAUCCACAACUAGUAAGAGGAUUGUUAUAAGAUCGUUAAUUUAUACCGUCUUCAUUGGAAUGGUAUAAGCUUAAUAAACAUUGUUAGCUUGGCUCA